rnacentral:rRNA from 1 species
UGGGGAAUCUUGGACAAUGGGCGCAAGCCUGAUCCAGCCAUGCCGCGUGAGUGAAGAAGGCCUUCGGGUUGUAAAGCUCUUUUGUCAGGGACGAUAAUGACGGUACCUGAAGAAUAAGCCCCGGCAAACUUCGUGCCAGCAGCCGCGGUAAUACGAAGGGGGCUAGCGUUGUUCGGAUUUACUGGGCGUAAAGCGUACGUAGGUGGAUAGUUAAGUGAGAGGUGAAAUCCCAGGGCUCAACCCUGGAACUGCCUUUCAUACUGGUUAUCUCGAGUUCGGAAGAGGUGAGUGGAAUUCCAAGUGUAGAGGUGAAAUUCGUAGAUAUUUGGAAGAACACCGGUGGCGAAGGCGGCUCACUGGUCCGAUACUGACACUGAGGUACGAAAGCGUGGGGAGCAAACA